rnacentral:rRNA from 1 species
UCAGGACGAACGCUGGCGGCGUGCCUAAUACAUGCAAGUCGAACGGUCUUUCUAUGGAAGCUUGCUCCACUGAGAAGAUAGUGGCGAACGGGUGAGUAACACGUGGGUAACCUGCCCAUAAGAGGGGGGAUAACAUCCGGAAACGGGUGCUAAUACCGCAUAGUUUUCUUGAUCGCAUGAUCGGGAAAGGAAAGACGGCCUUUGUGCUGUCGCUUAUGGAUGGACCCGCGGCGUAUUAGUUAGUUGGUGAGGUAACGGCUCACCAAGACGAUGAUACGUAGCCGACCUGAGAGGGUGAUCGGCCACAUUGGGACUGAGACACGGCCCAAACUCCUACGGGAGGCAGCAGUAGGGAAUCUUCCGCAAUGGACGAAAGUCUGACGGAGCAACGCCGCGUGAGUGAAGAAAGGUUUUCGGAUCGUAAAACUCUGUUGUCAGAGAAGAACAAGUUGGAGAGUAACUGCUCCAGCCUUGACGGUAUCUGACCAGAAAGCCACGGCUAACUACGUGCCAGCCGCGGC